AUUGAACGCUGGCGGCAUGCCUUACACAUGCAAGUCGAACGGUAACGCGGGGCAACCUGGCGACGAGUGGCGAACGGGUGAGUAAUAUAUCGGAACGUGCCCAGUAGUGGGGGAUAGCCCGGCGAAAGCCGGAUUAAUACCGCAUACGACCUAUGGGUGAAAGCGGGGGACCGUAAGGCCUCGCGCUAUUGGAGCGGCCGAUGUCAGAUUAGGUAGUUGGUGGGGUAAAAGCCUACCAAGCCUGCGAUCUGUAGCUGGUCUGAGAGGACGACCAGCCACACUGGGACUGAGACACGGCCCAGACUCCUACGGGAGGCAGCAGUGGGGAAUUUUGGACAAUGGGGGGCAACCCUGAUCCAGCCAUGCCGCGUGC
rnacentral:rRNA from 1 species